UACACACCGCCCGUCACACCAUGGGAGUUGAUUGCACCAGAAGUAGGUAGCCUAACCGUAAGGAGGGCGCUUACCACGGUGUGGUCAAUGACUGGGGUG
rnacentral:rRNA from 1 species